GGAGUUCGAAUUCGUACGGGAGAGAAAUUUGUUAGAAGAAAUAACAUUAUCUAAAGGGAGGAAUUGUUUAGAAAUAUUUAUUUUUGAAUGAUUUGUGAACAAAUAUAAGAUAAAAUGUCCUCUUCAGAGGCGAUGCUGUGCUAUUUAACGAGGUUUUCAUGAUCAGCCUCCUUGCCUCAGAGCCUCUGCAGUGGAAAAGACGAUGGCCAUUUGAUCUUUCAUUCGGGCAGCCUCCAUCUUUAGUCCCUCCAACUGUUUCCUCGUGUCCUUCAACUCUCUCUCCAGAGUGCCGACAGAAGCAAUAAAGCUCAUCGAUGGCCCUCCGACACUUAGCCUCCUCCAUCAGGGAGUUGCCUAGCUACCAGACUACAUGCUGACCUUACAAUGUGAAGGUCCCUUAGUUUUUCUAAGUUUUUAUCAUUGAUUUUCUUUCUCCAAAGUUGCCACUCCACUAUCCAGGGUCCAAUACAUCUGGUUGGCCAUGACAAGAAUUGCAGGCUCGGCCAGAAGCAUCUCCAGCACCUUUGGUUCCAGCUCCUGACGGUUUAACUUCAGAACAAAGGAGCCAUUGUCCGAAUUAGCUAGGCUUAUUUCGGUGUUUCUUGCUUGGAGCCUCUCCCUCUGAGGUGG
rnacentral:lncRNA from 1 species